AACUCCUUCAACUUGUUCUUUCUAGAAAACUCUUUACCUGUCCUUCAAUUUUAAGUGAUAGCUUUAUUGGGUAGAGUAAUCUUGGUUGUAGGUCCUUGCUUUUCAUCACUUUGGAUAUUUCAUGCCAAUCCUUACAAGCCUGCAAAGUUUCUGGUGACAAAUCAAGCUGACA